rnacentral:lncRNA from 1 species
CGUCACCGGCCUUGAAGCUCUCUUCCCAACGAGGAGCUGAGACCUAGAAGAGUUAAACUAUAUCAUUUCUUGGUACCCAAUCUAGACCGGGGAAGGACUUGAAAGAGCAACAUGAGCAGAAAGUGUGUGAGAGGGAGAUGCAACGAAUCACCCUGCCCCUGUCUGCCUUCACCAACCCCACCUGUGAGAUCAUGGACGAAAAGACCAUCAUUGUGCACAGCAACCAGACUCCUGCUGAUGUGCAGGAGGGCAGCACCCUCCUCACUGACCAGGCUGGCACCCCCGGGGCCUGAGCCCCUGCAGUGGGCAGGUGCCCACAUAGACACUGGUACAGGACAAGCCACCCUCCUGCAGUUGGGAGGAGCUACAUUUUGUGUUGUGGUUAAAACCUUAUCCCAUUUUUCUUUCGGGGGGAAUGUGACUCCUCAUGACACAAGAAGCAGCAGGUAGCAUCAAGGGCGAGGCUGGGGAGGGUCCUAUCAAUGCUCCUUUUCUAUCCCUUAGAGCAGGAUUUGCCUGCGGAGAGAGACUGGCACAGCGGCCACAGUGGUGCUGUGGCAAAUAAGGGCUUCCACAUUGCCUGGGCCAGGGAGACAGGGAGCUCGCUAAGGCUCCUCUGUGCUAUAAACUGAAGGUGGUCUCAGUCUCUGCCUUUGCCAUCCAGGAACUUGAGUGGCAUAUACUGUUAUUCAUAGUUAAGGUCAAGCAUUAAAAAAACAAAACUAUAUAUUUACAUAUAUAUUCAUGUGAAUAUAUAGAUGUAUAUGAAUGAA